CGUGCCUAAUACAUGCAAGUCGAACGCAUUGUGGUUGAAAUGAUAUGAAGAACUUGUUCAGAUUUGAUUUUCAACAUUGCAAUGAGUGGCGAACGGGUGAGUAACACGUGGGAAACCUACCUCUUAGCAGGGAUAACAUUUGGAAACAAAUGCUAAUACCGUAUAAUAAUUGAAACCGCAUGGUUUUAGUUUAAAGAUAGUCUUGCUAUCACUAAGAGAUGGUCCCGCGGUGUAUUAGUUAGUUGGUGAGGUAAUGGCUCACCAAGACAAUGAUACAUAGCCGAGUUGAGAGACUGACCGGCCACAAUGGGACUGAGACACGGCCCAUACUCCUACGGGAGGCAGCAGUAGGGAAUCUUCCACAAUGGACGAAAGUCUGAUGGAGCAACGCCGCGUGUGUGAUGAAGGGUUUCGGCUCGUAAAACACUGUUGUAAGAGAAGAAUGACAUUGAGAGUAACUGUUCAAUGUGUGACGGUAUCUUACCAGAAAGGAACGGCUAAAUACGUG
rnacentral:rRNA from 1 species